UACGAAGGGGGCUAGCGUUGUUCGGAAUUACUGGGCGUAAAGCGCGCGCAGGCGGUUUUCCAAGUCAGUGGUGAAAGCCCGGAGCUCAACUCCGGAAUUGCCAUUGAAACUGUAAAACUUGAGGACGAGAGAGGUGAGUGGAAUUCCCAGUGUAGAGGUGAAAUUCGUAGAUAUUGGGAAGAACACCGGUGGCGAAGGCGGCUCACUGGCUCGUUUCUGACGCUCAGGCGCGAUAGCGUGGGGAUCAAACAGG
rnacentral:rRNA from 1 species